ACCUACGGGACGCAGCAGUGGGGAAUAUUGGACAAUGGGGGAAACCCUGAUCCAGCGACGCCGCGUGAGUGAAGAAGUAUUUCGGUAUGUAAAGCUCUAUCAGCAGGGAAGAAAAUGACGGUACCUGACUAAGAAGCCCCGGCUAACUACGUGCCAGCAGCCGCGGUAAUACGUAGGGGGCAAGCGUUAUCCGGAUUUACUGGGUGUAAAGGGAGCGUAGACGGCAUUGCAAGUCUGAUGUGAAAACCCGGGGCUCAACUCCGGGAGUGCAUUGGAAACUGUUGAUCUAGAGUGUCGGAGAGGCA
rnacentral:rRNA from 1 species